AUUGAACGCUGGCGGCAGGCUUAACACAUGCAAGUCGAGCGGGGGGAAGGUAGCUUGCUACCUAACCUAGCGGCGGACGGGUGAGUAAUGCUUAGGAAUCUGCCUACUAGUGGGGGACAACAUUUCGAAGGGGAUGCUAAUACCGCAUACGCCCUAAGGGGGAAAGCAGGGGAUCUUCGGACCUUGCGCUAAUAGAUGAGCCUAACUCGGAUUAGCUAGUUGGUGGGGUAAAGGCCUACCAAGGCGACGAUCUGUAGCGGGUCUGAGAGGAUGAUCCGCCACACUGGGACUGGGACACGGCCCAGACUCCUACGGGAGGCAGCAGUGGGGAAUAUUGGACAAUGGGGGGAACCCUGAUCCAGCCAUGCCGCGUGUGUGAAGAAGGCCUUUUGGUUGUAAAGCACUUUAAGCGAGGAGGAGGCUACCGAGAUUAAUACUCUUGGAUAGUGGACGUUACUCGCAGAAUAAGCACCGGCUAACUCUGUGCCAGCAGCCGCCGUAACAC
rnacentral:rRNA from 1 species